GGCCACAAAAGACCCCUGUCUGGUGAGGCUACCAGCUGAGUGCACUGAGUCACUCUACCCCCUUGUCCUUUGGGCAAGUGAGUUUCCAGAGAACAGGGCUCUGGGCAGGAGAUGCAAUAGACACCCCCUCCCACCCUGGGAGGGGCUGGCAGAUGCUUCCUUAGCUGGAGCUUGGAACAGACUUAAGGCCAGUGAAAUGAAUUCAAUGGCUGAGGUGAGGUAUCCCAGCAUGGAGGCUUCAUAACCUGAUUCAGACCACUCUCCCCUGUCC
ensembl:misc_RNA RNaseP_nuc Nuclear RNase P